GGCGGCGGCGCGCAGCAGUCCCACCCAGCUCCUCAUGACACUUCCGGUGAGUCACUUCCGGCCGUCACUUCCGCCGUGAGAAGCGGAAGGAGGAAGCGGAGUGGCGCUGGGAGCGUCAUGGCGGAGCCGCGGCCCAGCGGGGAGCCUCGGAGCUCAGCGGCGGGUCCGGGCCCAGCGCCCGCCGCGCCCACCGCGGCUCCGCAGCCUCCUUCGCAGCCUACUUCGCAGCCGCCUGCCGCCCCUCAGCCCCCCCCGGACGCCGCCCCGCAGCCAGGCCCCGCGACGGCCCCGCUGGAGGACACGCGCUUCAUGAUCGCCGGCACCAACUGGUACUGACGGUCCGCGGACGACGAGCGGCCGGCGGGCAAUAAACCAGGCGGAACUCUG